rnacentral:rRNA from 1 species
CUACGGGUGGCUCCAGCCGAGAAUAUUCGACAAUGGAGGCAACUCUGAUCGAGCGACGCCGCGUGCAGGAUGAAAUCCUUCGGGAUGUAAACUGCUUUUCUUGGGGAAGAAGCUCCGACCUCGGUCGGAGUUGACGGUACCCGAGGAAUAAGCACUUGCUAACCUCGUGCCAGCAGCCGCGGUAAUACGAGGAGUGCAAGCGUUAUCCGGAGUCAUUGGGCGUAAAGGGGUGGUAGGGGGUUGUGUUAGUCCGCUGUUAAAUAUUCCCGCUCAACGGGAAAGAUGCAGGGGAAACGGCACAACUGGAGGAUGCAAGAGGCAUAUGGAACUCACGGUGUAGGGGUGAAAUCCGUUGAUAUCGUGGGGAACACCAAAGGCGAAGGCAGUAUGCUGGGGCACUUCUGACCCUGAAACACGAAAGCGUGGGGAUCAAAAAGGAUUAGAUACCCCAGUAGUC